rnacentral:rRNA from 1 species
UUACUGACGCUAAAGCUCGAAGGUGCGGGUAUCGAACAGGAUUAGAUACCCUGGUAGUCCGCACGGUAAACGAUGGAUGCCCGCUGUUUGCGAUAUACUGUGAGCGGCCAAGAGAAAUCGUUAAGCAUCCCACCUGGGGAGUACGCCGGCAACGGUGAAACUCAAAGGAAUUGACGGGGGCCCGCACAAGCGGAGGAACAUGUGGUUUAAUUCGAUGAUACGCGAGGAACCUUACCCGGGCUUGAACUGCAGCGGACGGAUACAGAGAUGUUGACUCCCUUCGGGGCCGCUGUGGAGGUGCUGCAUGGUUGUCGUCAGCUCGUGCCGUGAGGUGUCGGCUUAAGUGCCAUAACGAGCGCAACCCUUUUCUUUAGUUGCCAUCAGGUAAUGCUGGGCACUCUGGAGAUACUGCCACCGUAAGGUGUGAGGAAGGUGGGGAUGACGUCAAAUCAGCACGGCCCUUACGUCCGGGGCUACACACGUGUUACAAUGGGAGGUACAGAGAGAUGGUGUUCCGUAAGGCGCAUCAAAUCCUCAAAGCCUUCCUCAGUUCGGAUUGGGGUCUGCAACCCGACCCCAUGAAGCUGGAUUCGCUAGUAA